rnacentral:lncRNA from 1 species
UUUCAAAUCAUUAUCUCUGAACUCCUUGUUGAAAUUGCUAGCAACAUGGCGGAUGCAAUAUACAGAAUGACCAUCACACCAUUGCGGGAGCUCAGUACGUAAUGCACCCAAUAAACCUGUACCCCUAUCUGAUAUAAUGCAAAUAUUUGGUUGUGGGGUAACAUAUGUCCGAAGAUUGUAGAAAAACCAUUCCCAUGCCUCUUUGGUCUCUCCUUCUACAAUCG